rnacentral:misc_RNA from 1 species
UCCGGCUUAUCACCGGCAGUCCCACUAGAGUGCCCAACUAAAUGAUGGCAACUAAUGAUAAGGGUUGCGCUCGUUGCGGGACUUAACCCAACAUCUCACGACACGAGCUGACGACGGCCAUGCAGCACCUGUGUCCAGGUUCUCUUUCGAGCACUCUCGCAUCUCUGCAAGAUUCCUGGCAUGUCAAGGGUAGGUAAGGUUUUUCGCGUUGCAUCGAAUUAAUCCGCAUGCUCCGCCGCUUGUGCGGGCCCCCGUCAAUUCCUUUGAGUUUUAGCCUUGCGGCCGUACUCCCCAGGCGGGGCGCUUAAUGCGUUAGCUGCGGCACAGAGAACCGGAGAGGUCCCCCACACCUAGCGCCCAACGUUUACAGCGUGGACUAC